rnacentral:tRNA from 1 species
GCGUCGGUGGUUCAGUGGUAGAAUACUUGCCUGCCACGCGGGUGACCCGGGUUCAAUUCCCGGCCGACGCA